rnacentral:rRNA from 1 species
UACGUAGGGUGCAAGCGUUGUCCGGAAUUAUUGGGCGUAAAGAGCUCGUAGGCGGUUCGUCGCGUCGGCUGUGAAAACCUGAGGCUCAACCUCAGGCCUGCAGUCGAUACGGGCGGACUUGAGUACUGCAGGGGAGACUGGAAUUCCUGGUGUAGCGGUGGAAUGCGCAGAUAUCAGGAGGAACACCGGUGGCGAAGGCGGGUCUCUGGGCAGUAACUGACGCUGAGGAGCGAAAGCGUGGGGAGCAAACAGG